UACGUAGGGUGCAAGCGUUGUCCGGAAUUAUUGGGCGUAAAGAGCUUGUAGGCGGUUUGUCGCGUCUGCUGUGAAAUUUCGGGGCUCAACCCCGAACUUGCAGUGGGUACGGGCAGACUAGAGUGUGGUAGGGGAGACUGGAAUUCCUGGUGUAGCGGUGGAAUGCGCAGAUAUCAGGAGGAACACCGAUGGCGAAGGCAGGUCUCUGGGCCGCAACUGACGCUGAGGAGCGAAAGUGUGGGGAGCGAACAGG
rnacentral:rRNA from 1 species